rnacentral:misc_RNA from 1 species
GAUGAAGAACGCAGCGAAAUGCGAUAAGUAAUGUGAAUUGCAGAAUUCAGUGAAUCAUCGAAUCUUUGAACGCACAUUGCGCCCCCUGGUAUUCCGGGGGGCAUGCCUGUUCGAGCGUCAUUUCACCACUCAAGCCUCGCUUGGUAUUGGGCAACGCGGUCCGCCGCGUGCCUCAAAUCGACCGGCUGGGUCUUCUGUCCCCUAAGCGUUGUGGAAACUUUCGCUAAAGGGUGUUCGGGAGGCUACGCCGUAAAACAACCCCAUUUCUAAGGUUGACCUCGGAUCAGGUAGGGAUACCCGCUGAACUUAAGUAUAUCAAUAAGCGGAGGA